rnacentral:rRNA from 1 species
UGAAACCUAGUGAUUGUAAACUUAGUGGCGGACGGGUGAGUAACGCGUGGGUAACCUGCCUUAUCCAGGGGGAUAACAGUGAGAAAUUACUGCUAAUACCGCAUAAGCGCACAGAAUCGCAUGAUUCAGUGUGAAAAGAUUUAUCGGGAUAAGAUGGACCCGCGUCUGAUUAGCUAGUUGGUGAGGUAACGGCCCACCAAGGCGACGAUCAGUAGCCGGCCUGAGAGGGUGAACGGCCACAUUGGGACUGAGACACGGCCCAAACUCCUACGGGAGGCAGCAGUGGGGAAUAUUGCACAAUGGGGGAAACCCUGAUGCAGCGACGCCGCGUGAGUGAUGAAGUAUUUCGGUAUGUAAAGCUCUAUCAGCAGGGAAGAAAAUGACGGUACCUGACUAAGAAGCCCCGGCUAACUACGUGCCAGCAGCCGCGGUAAUACGUAGGGGGCAAGCGUUAUCCGGAUUUACUGGGUGUAAAGGGAGCGUAGACGGCAUGGCAAGUCUGAAGUGAAAUGCGGGGGCUCAACCCCUGAACUGCUUUGGAAACUGUUAAGCUAGAGUGUCGGAGAGGUAAGUGGAAUUCCUAGUGUAGCGGUGAAAUGCGUAGAUAUUAGGAGGAACACCGGUGGCGAAGGCGGCUUACUGGACGAUGACUGACGUUGAGGCUCGAAAGCGUGGGGAGCAAACAGG